rnacentral:rRNA from 1 species
UACGUAGGGCGCAAGCGUUGUCCGGAAUUAUUGGGCGUAAAGAGCUCGUAGGCGGCCUGUUGCGUCCGCUGUGAAAACCCGGGGCUUAACCCCGGGCUUGCAGUGGAUACGGGCAGGCUGGAGUCCGGAAGAGGGUGGUGGAAUUCCGAGUGUAGAGGUGAAAUUCGUAGAUAUCGAGAGGAACACCGGUGGCGAAGGCGGCCAACUGGACGAAUACUGACGCUGAGACUCGAAAGCGUGGGGAGCAAACAGG